AUGAAGCUGGAAUCGCUAGUAAUCGCGAAUCAGAAUGUCGCGGUGAAUACGUUCCCGGGUCCUUGUACACACCGCCCGUCACACCAUGGGAGUCGGAAAUGCCCGAAGUCAGUGACCCAACCGUAAGGAGGGAGCUGCCGAAGGUGGAGCCGGUAACUGGGGUGAAGUCGUAACAAGGUAAC
rnacentral:rRNA from 1 species